GGAAUCUUCCACAAUGGACGCAAGUCUGAUGGAGCAACGCCGCGUGAGUGAAGAAGGUCUUCGGAUCGUAAAGCUCUGUUGUUGGUGAAGGAGGAUAGAGGCAGUAACUGGUCUUUAUUUGACGGUAAUCACCCAGAAAGUCACGGCUAACUACGUGCCAGCAGCCGCGGUAAUACGUAGGUGGCAAGCGUUGUCCGGAUUUAUUGGGCGUAAAGCGAGCGCAGGCGGAAUGAUAAGUCUGAUGUGAAAGCCCACGGCUCAACCGUGGAACUGCAUCGGAAACUGUCAUUCUUGAGUGCAGAAGAGGAGAGUGGAACUCCAUGUGUAGCGGUGGAAUGCGUAGAUAUAUGGAAGAACACCAGUGGCGAAGGCGGCUCUCUGGUCUGCAACUGACGCUGAGGCUCGAAAGCAUGGGUAGCGAACAGGAUUAGAUACCCUGGUAGUCCAUGCCGUAAACGAUGAGCGCUAGGUGUUGGGGACUUUCCGGUCCUCAGUGCCGCAGCAAACGCAUUAAGCGCUCCGCCUGGGGAGUACGACCGCAAGGUUGAAAC
rnacentral:rRNA from 1 species